rnacentral:lncRNA from 1 species
AUAUCAUAAUGUAUAAAAAGAAAAAGAAAAGAUUAUUGUGAGGGAAAUUGAUCUAGCGUCGAUGGAAUCGGUAGAAUGGGAAUGUGAUGAAGAAAAGAUUUCUGAGAAAGAAGGGUGGUUGGUAGUUGGGAAAGUUCUACUUGGCACAAAGAAAUGCUCUUAUACAACUUGACAUAGUGCGGAAGCGAUACUAAAUACCAUUUUAGCAUAUAUUCUUAAAAACUCAAAAAAGAGGGUUCUCACGAAAGAGAAAAGUAUUUUAGUUGAGAAAAUAAGUUGAAUAUUAUUGAUGAAGUUGUUGAAAAGAAACAAGCAUAAUACGUCUAUUUAUACUAGUUGUAAUUGAUCGUAAUCCUAGUAAACUUAUGAUUCCUUCUAAAAUAAGUAAUAUGGCUUAAACAAGAAAGUGUAAACAAAAUUUAAUUAAACUAAAAUUACAAAUAUAACUCAAAUAUGUUUUCUAAAAUAAGAUAAAUACUAAUAAAAUACUAAAUAUUCAAUUGAAAUUUCUAAUAUAUUCUACUUCCAUAUGCUUCCUGUGUACGUCAUA